rnacentral:misc_RNA from 1 species
AACAUCGCGCACCUGCGGGAACCUGCGGAAGGAUCAUUACAGAGUUGCAAAACUCCCUAAACCAUUGUGAACCUACCUUCUACCGUUGCUUCGGCGGGCGGGCCUAGCGCCCCCCCGGCCCCCCGCGGGCGCCCGCCGGAGGAUAACCAAACUCUUGACAUCAGUGGCCUCUCUGAGUAUUCUUUACUGAAUAAGUCAAAACUUUCAACAAUGGAUCU